GUGCUUGCUUUGGCAGCACGUAUACUAAAAUUGGAAUGAUAUAGAGAAGAUUAGCAUGGCUCCUGUGCAAGGAUGACACGCAAAUUUGUGAAGCAUUCCAUAUUUUU
ensembl:snRNA U6 U6 spliceosomal RNA